GAUGAACGCUGGCGGCGUGGAUAAGGCAUGCAAGUCAAGGGGUCACUUUCGGGUGACACCGGCGAACGGGUUAGUAACACGUAGGUAACAUACCGUUAACACAGGUAUAAUCCAGAGAAAUCUGGGCUAAUCCCUGAUGGUCCCCAUGAGAUAUAAAAAUUAUCUCACGGGGUAAAGGUUUCGAGCAAUCGAUUCCGGUUGACGAAUGGCCUGCGGCCUAUCAGCUUGUUGGUGGGGUAAUAGCCUACCAAGGCAAUGACGGGUAGGGGAUGUGAGAGCAUGUUCCCCAAUAAUGGGACUGAGAUACGGCCCAUACUCCUACGGGAGGCUGCAGUCGAGAAUAUUGGACAAUGGGCGAAAGCCUGAUCCAGCGACGCCGCGUGCUUGAAGAAGCCCUUCGGGGUGUAAAGAGCUUUUCUGGGGGAAGAACCUUCGGGUGACGGUACCCCAGGAAUAAGGAGACGCUAAUCACGUGCCAGCAGCGGCGGUAAUACGUGAUCUCCAAGCGUUAUCCGGAUUUAUUGGGCGUAAAGCGUCUGUAGGCGGCUGGAAAAGUCUUUGGUUAAAUACCCAGGGCUCAACCUUGGGAAUGCUUGAGAUACUUUCUGGCUAGAGGGUGUUAGGGGCUGAUGGAACGGUCGGUGUAGGGGUGAAAUCCGUUGAUAUCGACCGGAACACCAAAAGCGAAGGCAUUCAGCUGGAGCGAUCCUGACGCUGAGAGACGAAAGCGUGGGUAGCGAACGGGAUUAGAUACCCCGGUAGUCCACGCUGUAAACGAUGGACACUAGCUAUUGGAAGUGUCGACCCUACCAGUGGCGAAGCUAACGCGUUAAGUGUCCCGCCUGGGAAGUACGGCCGCAAGGCUGAAACUCAAAGGAAUAGACGGGGACUCACACAAGCGGUGGACCAUGUGGCUUAAUUCGAUAAUAAGCGAGGAACCUUACCAGGACUUGACACUCUAGUGAAAUUCUGCCGAAAGGUAGAACUACCCACAAGGACACUAGAGCAGGUGCUGCAUGGUUGUCGUCAGCAGGUGCUUUGAAGUGCUCCCUUUAAUGGGGAAACCUGCGCAACCCUUACUCUGUGUUUUAUUUGUCACGGAGGACUGCCCGAGACAAUCGGGAGGAAGGUGAGGAUGACGCCAAAUCAGCAUGGCCCUUUGAUGUCCUGGGCUGCACACGUGGUACAAUGGGGCCGACAAUGGGUCGCCAAGGGGUAACCCGGAGCUAAUCCCAUCAAACGGUCUCUUAGUUCGGAUUGAGGUCUGCAACUUGACCUCAUGAAGCUGGAAUCGCUAGUAAUCGCCAAUCAGCCAUGUGGCGAUGAAUACGUUACUGAGUCUUGUACUCACCGCCCGUCACAUUAGGGAAGCCGGCGGUAGCCGAA
rnacentral:rRNA from 1 species